UACGGGGGGAGCAAGCGUUGUUCGGAUUUACUGGGCGUAAAGGGCGCGUAGGCGGUCAGCACAAGUCAGUUGUGAAAUCUCCGGGCUUAACUCGGAAAGGUCAACUGAUACUGUGCGACUAGAGUGCGGAAGGGGCAACUGGAAUUCCUGGUGUAGCGGUGAAAUGCGCAGAUAUCAGGAGGAACACCGAUGGCGAAGGCAGGUCUCUGGGCAUUAACUGACGCUGAGGAGCGAAAGCAUGGGGAGCGAACAGG
rnacentral:rRNA from 1 species